rnacentral:rRNA from 1 species
GACGAACGCUGGCGGCGUGCCUAAUACAUGCAAGUUGAGCGAUGAAGAUUGGUGCUUGCACCAAUUUGAAGAGCAGCGAACGGGUGAGUAACGCGUGGGGAAUCUGCCUUUGAGCGGGGGACAACAUUUGGAAACGAAUGCUAAUACCGCAUAACAACUUUAAACAUAAGUUUUAAGUUUGAAAGAUGCAAUUGCAUCACUCAAAGAUGAUCCCGCGUUGUAUUAGCUAGUUGGUGAGGUAAAGGCUCACCAAGGCGAUGAUACAUAGCCGACCUGAGAGGGUGAGCGGCCACAUUGGGACUGAGACAAGGCCCAAACUCCUACGGGAGGCAGCAGUAGGGAAUCUUCGGCAAUGGACGAAAGUCUGACCGAGCAACGCCGCGUGAGUGAAGAAGGUUUUCGGAUCGUAAAACUCUGUUGGUAGAGAAGAACGUUGGUGAGAGUGGAAAGCUCAUCAAGUGACGGUAACUACCCAGAAAGGGACGGCUAACUACGUG